GCUUCUUCUCAGUCUUCUAUGAGUCGACGAGGAAGCAUGAAUCAGUCACUAACUGACAUAACAGACAAGGAUACUAAGUUGGAUACAAGGUCUCGACCUCAACUUGCUAGAUUUUCUACAAUGGAAUCCUUCAAACAUGUUGAAACCCGUUCUUCCAAACAGAAGAAAAAACUUGAAUUCAACAGCAGUCGCGUGUCACCUAUUCCAAAUGGUACCUCUCAG
rnacentral:misc_RNA from 1 species